rnacentral:tRNA from 1 species
AGGAGCUUAGGUUAACCCCAGACCGAGGGCCUUCAAAGCCCCAAGUAAAUGAACUACAUUUAGCUCCUG